CCCCAGUCCCCAAGGUCUUGGGAAAAAGACCCCGAAGUGUUGCAAGGACA
rfam:Culex theileri flavivirus RP-2011 gene for viral polyprotein, genomic RNA, isolate 153